AGCCCUGAGGUGUAUUUACAUAUUAGAUUGCAAAUCUUAAGAAGCAGGCUAAUACCUGCCGGGGCUU
rnacentral:tRNA from 1 species